GCAUAUCAAUAAGCGGAGGAAAAGAAACCAACAGGGAUUGCCCCCAGUAACGGCGAAGUGAAGCGGCAACAGCUCAAAUUUGAAAUCUGGCCCCAGGCCCGAGUUGUAAUUUUGCAGAGGAUGCUUUUGGCGCGGUGCCUUCCGAGUUCCCUGGAACGGGACGCCAUAGAGGGUGAGAGCCCCGUACGGUUGGACACCAAGCCUUUGUAAAGCUCCUUCGACGAGUCGAGUAGUUUGGGAAUGCUGCUCUAAAUGGGAGGUACAUUUCUUCUAAAGCUAAAUAUUGGCCAGAGACCGAUAGCGCACAAGUAGAGUGAUCGAAAGAUGAAAAGCACUUUGAAAAGAGGGUUAAACAGCACGUGAAAUUGUUAAAAGGGAAGCGCUUGUGACCAGACUUGCGUCCGGUGAAUCACCCAGCUCUCGCGGCUGGGGCACUUCGCCGGCACAGGCCAGCAUCAGCUUGCCGUCGGGGACAAAAGCUUCAGGAACGUGGCUCCUCUCGGGGAGUGUUAUAGCCUGUUGCAUAAUACCCUUCGGCGGGCUGAGGUACGCGCUCCGCAAGGAUGCUGGCGUAAUGGUCAUCAGCGACCCGUCUUGAAACACGGACCAAGGAGUCAACCUUAUGUGCGAGUGUUUGGGUGUUAAACCCCUACGCGUAAUGAAAGUGAACGCAGGUGAGAGCUUCGGCGCAUCAUCGACCGAUCCUGAUGUUCUCGGAUGGAUUUGAGUAAGAGCAUAUAGGGUUGGACCCGAAAGAAGGUGAACUAUGCGUGUGUAGGGUGAAGCCAGAGGAAACUCUGGUGGAGGCUCGCAGCGGUUCUGACGUGCAAAUCGAUCGUCAAACCAUGCGCAUGGGGCGAAAGACUAAUCGAACCUUCUAGUAGCUGGUUUCCGCG
rnacentral:rRNA from 1 species